UACGUAGGGGGCAAGCGUUGUCCGGAAUUAUUGGGCGUAAAGCGCGUGUAGGCGGCUCGGUAAGUCUGCUGUGAAAGUCCAGGGCUCAACCCUGGAAUGCCGGUGGAUACUGUCGAGCUCGAGUCCGGAAGAGGCGAGUGGAAUUCCUGGUGUAGCGGUGAAAUGCGCAGAUAUCAGGAGGAACACCAAUGGCGAAGGCAGCUCGCUGGGACGGUACUGACGCUGAGACGCGAAAGCGUGGGGAGCAAACGGG
rnacentral:rRNA from 1 species